UCUCCUCAGGUUGCCUCCUCAAAAUGAUGUUGCCAGUUAGGCUGUUGGUGCUGUUGUUCUGGAUUCCUGCUUCUAGAGGUGAUGUUGUGAUGACACAAACUCCAGUUUCCCUGCCUGUCAGCCUUGGAGAUCAAGCCUCUAUCUCUUGCAGGUCUAGUCAGAACCUUGUGCAUAGUAAUGGAUACACCUAUUUAGAAUGGUACCUACAGAAGCCAGGCAAGUCUCCACAACUCCUCAUCUAUGAGAUUUCCAAACGAUUUUCUGGGGUUCCAGACAGAUUCAGUGGCAGUGGGUCAGGCACAGAUUUCACACUCAAGAUCAGCAGAGUGGAACCUGAGGAUUUGGGAGUUUAUUACUGCUACCAAGGUACACAUUUUCCUCCCACAGUGAUGCAGACCCUAACAAAAACAUUCAUGCUUGGGAUGUUCUAG